rnacentral:rRNA from 1 species
UAAAGGUACUUUUUGCUCCAUGAAAAAUUUUAAAUAGCCGCAGUACUCUGACUGUGCUAAGGUAGCAUAAUAAUCUGUCUCUUAAUUAGAUUCUUGUAUAAACGAGACCACGACACUUUUACUUUUCUAAAAAUUUUAAUAAAAAUUAAUAUUUGUUUCAAAAAAAACAACUCCCCGAGUAGACGACAAGACCCCGUGAAACUUUAUUUUUAAUUUAUUUUUGCGCCCGGAAAUUAUAACUGUAAAAAAAAAAAUUAAGCUGGGGCGGCAUUAAAAAGACCUUUAUAUAGAAAACAAAAAUUCUUGACUCAGUAGAUCUUAUUUAAUAAAAUAUAAAAUAAGUUACUCCGGGGAUAACAGCACAAUUUUUUUGAAUAGACCAGAUAGAUAAAAAAGACUUGUGACCUCGAUGUUGAAUUGGAGAGCCGGGGUUGAGUAGAAAAAACCUUUGGGGGUCUGUUCGACCUUUAAUCCUCC